CAUGACUCAUGAGAAGAACAUAUGAAGCAGUUUCUCAUCAAGGAAUGUCGACGUUGCUUUGACACCUCACCAAAAAGAGCUAAUGAGCUUUUGAGAAACAUGGCGAGAGUAGAGAUACCAAUAAUAAUAAUGGGUAAUGAGUUCAAUAUCACCAUCCACAUCAGCAACAUCAAUGGUUUAUCCAUAUCUGGUUUUUGAGAUGCAACAACUGGUUACUGGUGUCUCCAGUGUCUAUGAUUAUGAAAGGAUUUUGCACUACAGAACAAGCCUAUGGGAGCACCAACAAGGGGUCCUCAAUGAGAUGUCGUAGAGAAGUAUCUUAACUUGGAUACAUAAGAGGCUGAUGAAGUAACAUAUAAUCUGUCAGUACAUUGAGGAGCUAGGAAAUAUGGUUAGAAUGAAGGAGAAGGCAUAAACAAACUUUCAUGCUUAGUGUCUGUUUAUUUGUUGCUUAGUAUUACAAAAUGCAAUAUCUAUGUGAUGAACAAUCUUAGACUCAUGAAUUAGAGAAGAAGUUUUUAAGCGUAGAAGAAUAAAACAAAGAACUUUGAAGGUUAUAAAAAGAUUUAAUGAUAAAUUUUAUUCAAAAGAUUGCUAUUA